GGGAAACAUCUCGACGGGGGUAAACAAAUCCAAGACCUUUUUUAAACAAACGCAGGAAUUCUAUGUGGGAUGAGCUCGGAGAAGCUUCUAGAAUAUGCCUACACAGCGACUCCUUCUCCUUCAGAAGGAGUCUAAACGCCACCGGAUGGAGAGUGAAAUCCUUUCUAAGAAACGGCUGAGACGAGAAACGCCAGAUGCUUUCCUGACAGGAUGGAAAGAAACUGAGAAGGUCACUGUUCCAGCUACAGCACCUGAGGAAGCUGAAGAUUUACAAGCUGCGGACACACACAGUGCUGUAGGACAUGUCAUAAAGGUGGACCAGCAGAAUGAAGAAUUUGUGAAGCUCACUGUGAAAGAAGAGGAACCUGAAAACACAGAUUUCCGGUGUGAAGCUACUUCGAGCUCAGUCGGAAGUGUCGUCCUUGUCGACCAACAGAACGGAGAAUUUGUGAGGAAUGCUGUGAAAAAUAAAGAACCUGAAGAUGAUGACGGCUACCUCUAUUGCAGAAGGAAUUUGGAGAUUUCCUCACCGGCAAAUAAUGAACAAGGUGACGGGACAGCAAGUCCAGUCAGCAACAACGACCUUCUGAAACAGCUAGUUGUUGCUCACAACAGUAUGUCUCAUCAGCUCACAGCUCUCUCGUCCCAGAUGACUGAGCAGACGUUGCUUCUUAGGGGCGUAUUGGAUGAGAUGCGGCAGCAACGAGACCACAAAGAGCGUAUGAAUGCGCUGAAGAGGAGGAAAAAAGAGCACAGUUUGGCUGCCAUUGGUAAAGAUGGACGGUAUCUGCAUGAUUCAGAAAAUAUUCCCGAUCCACAAACCGAAAUCAGCUCGCCUUUUAAUCAGACAGGGACGACACAUCAUCUUGAAGAGCUGUCGGAGAGUUUUGCAGAUGCUGAGCCUGAGAUUAUAAAUGUGCUGUGCAUGGAGGAGGACCUAGAAAUGUUCCUGAGGUCAAGAGGAAUACCAGAGGAGAGCAUAACACUCAUGAAACAGGACAAGAUUGACAAGUCUGUUUUAUCCAUCAUGAAGGAUGAGCAGCUGGCAAACUACCUCAAGUGUUACGGCGAUCGAAUAGCAGUUCUUGCCUACUGCCGUCAAACACGACCAAACUAUAAUAACCAAUCUCCUUUACAGGGAGUGAGGGAUAAAAUGAAAGUUAGAAAACUGAGAUCAAAGGCAGCUCAAAAGUUGUUUUUAAAAUCCUCAGUGAGUUCAAGUCACGGAAGUUUAUUGGCCAGACCCAAAAACACUAAUGCUGAGAAAACCGCCAGAAAAAUCGAAAUCGGAUGGCUUCAUUUUUGCAGCAACGGAUACCAACAAGUGAGGACAAGAAAUGGCGGUGGAACGAAACGCAUCACUGUCGCAAAAACCGUAACCGUGGAACAGAUAUUGGAAAUGGGAAAGGACUUCUUUUUUCCAGAUGGACUCUCAACAAAAGGACCCGCAGAACAUUUUAUUUUUCAUGUUUGUGAUUUUAAAAGAAACAAAAUUUCUAUGGGGGACACUGUUGGCCAACUUUAUGAACAAACAAAAUUAAAAAUGCUGAGAUUUUACAUCUGCACCAAAGAUGCAGACUCAUCGAGUCUCAUAGGCUCUGAGAGUGAUGUGGAGGAGUACAGUUCGGACAGUGAUUCCUAUGACACACUUGACUGAGGGUGUUUAUCUGCAAAUGGCACAGAGAUUUGAGGUUUGUUCGCCAAAGUAUAAAUAUAUAGGAAUUCAGAACAUCAACAAACUGUGUUUUUAUGAAACUAUUUCAAAAUGAUGGAGAAUCCUGCAUCAUCUGGGUUAUGUCCAGAGAAGAGAGCUCUCACAGUCUAGAAUGCUGCCACGAAUGAUGCAGAAACAAGUCUGGUGUCUUCUAUGAAUGGAUGAUCAAGCCGAAAUAUUCAAUCCACCUUCCUGAUUUAAAUAAGUUUGCUAUUUACAUUUGAAAGUGCAUUAGACAAAUUAUUAUUUUAAGACUAAUAAGUUUAUCUCUUUCCUUUCUUCUUACCCAUAUACAGUGCUGGUCACUAUUUUUGGCACCCUGGUUAAGAUGUGUUCUUAGGCUUCUAAUAAUAAUACUUUUAGUGCAGCAGCAUAAUCUCACACUAAACAUUGUAGAAGAAUCUAUCCUUUAACUCAAGUCAAUAAAAAUUCAUAACUAAAAAGAAAAAAUAUAGUUUUUAUAUAAAACAUCACCCGUUCCACAAUUAAUGGCACCCCUAACAAUUCUGAUAAAAUAAAUGUAAUUGGAGCAUUUUCGUAAAUUCUACUGGAGAUUAUAAAGUUGAUCAGAGUAUCUAGAAAUUUUUUAUUUAUAAUUCAUGACUUCCUGUUUUUCUGUGGUAUAAAUAUGACGUGACAGAGGCUUAUUUCUCUUAUCCACUUUUCAACAUGGGAAAGACAAGAGAACACCCCAUUCAAGAAAGGAAGAUGUGUGUCGACCUUCAUAAAUCAGGCAAAGGCUACAAGAAAACAGCCACUCAGCUAAACUUGCCCAUAUCUACAGUGAGAGGAAUCAUAAAGAAGUUAAAAAAAAACUGUAACAGUGACAAACAAGGCUGGACGAGGACUCACGUUUAUCUUGCCACCACACACAGUAAGGAGGAUGGCAAGAGAAGUAAAAAAAAUCUCCAAACCUCGCUGUUAGAGAACUGCAUCAAAAAGUGGCAUCUUGGGGUCACAAAGUCUCCAUAACAACCAUCGGACGCUAUCGACAUGCCAACAAGCUGUUUUGGGAGGGAUGCAAGGAAAAAGCCUUUUCUCACCUACAAACAUAAAUAUCUGGAGUUUGCUGGGACUUUAACUGGGACUAUGUGCUGUGGCCAGAUAAGACUAAGAGCUUUUUGGCAACAAACACUGUCUGGGUCUGGCAUAAAACAAAAGAUGAGUUUGUGAAAAAGCACCCCAUGCCAACUGUGAAGUAUGGUGGAGAAUCUGUGUUGCUGUAGGCCUGUUUCUCUUUCAAAGGCUCUGAGAUCCUUGUUAGGGUGCAUGGCAUCGUGAACUCUCUGAAAUACCAGGACAUUUUAAAUUAAAAUCUGAUGGCCUCUGUCAGAAAGCUGAAGAUGGGUUGUCAUUGGGUCUUUUAGCAGGAUGAUGAAAUGAAAUCUAGGGCUGCAACGAAUGAUUAUUUUAAUAAUCAAUUACUCUGUCCCAUUGUAAUUGUUGAUUACAAUGACGCGCGCACACAGACAGCAGGCAAAGAGCAUCGCGCGACACAACAAAUCAAUUAUGAAAUUCGUUGCCAACGCUUUUAGUAAUCGAUUUCUAUCGAUUUUAUCGAUUCGUUGUUUCAGCCCUAAUGAAAUCUACACAAAAAUGGUUCAGUAGACACACAAUCCAGCUCCUCUCAUGGCCAUCUCAGUCCCCAGAGGUCAACCCAAUUGAAAAUCUUUGGGGUGAGCUGAAAAGGAGAGUGCAUAAAAGAAGAUCCAGGACUUGAUCUAGAAACAUUGUGCAAAGUGGAAUGGUCAAAGAUCCCAUCUGGAUCCCGUAUCUAUAUUCUUCAAUCGUGUGAAAUGUUAUAGGAGGAGAUUAAGUGUUGUCUUAGGAUUGUACGAAGUAUGAACAUCAGGGGUGCCAAUAAAUUUUGGCACACAUGAUUUCAUGUUAAAACAAUCAUAAUGCGGGUCCCCACACACACACACUGAAUAAUUGUACUUCAGUUAAAUGUUGGACUUUUCUCUCUUUUUGCAUUGUGGUUCUAUAUUGUUUAAAUAAAAAAAAAAUUCUAAGAAGCCUA